rnacentral:tRNA from 1 species
ACGGGUAUAGCUUAGUGGUAGAGCAUGUGCUAGGUGUGCAUGAGGUCCUGGGUUCAAUCCCCAGUGCCUCCA